UCUGAGGUCGGCAAGUUCUACCCAUCGCCGGAGGCUCUUUCUGGCGCGCUGAGCUCUCGUAGCCUUUCUCGGCUCCGUGGCUCCAAGUGCAGACCUCGGUCUUUUCCUCCUCGCCUCUCUCGAGGCAGGGGACUGGCCGAAACUUCCCGACUGACCGCUGCUUCGCUGCUGCGGAGGUGCCUGUCCGUCUGCUUGGUGUUGGCUCACGAACGACAUGGCUCGGAUAGAUGCAGACAUGCGUGGCCUUGCCACCUGGCUGGCCCCAUGAGUGCGGCGGCGGUCGUCUCUCCUUUCCGACCUCAGAUCGGACGAGAUUACCCGCUGAAUUUAAGCAUAUCACUAAGCGGAGGA
rnacentral:rRNA from 1 species